AUUGAACGCUGGCGGCAGGCCUAACACAUGCAAGUCGAGCGGAUGAAGGGAGCUUGCUCCUGGAUUCAGCGGCGGACGGGUGAGUAAUGCCUAGGAAACUGCCUGGUAGUGGGGGAUAACGUCCGGAAACGGGCGCUAAUACCGCAUACGUCCUGAGGGAGAAAGUGGGGGUUCUUCGGACCUCACGCUAUCAGAUGAGCCUAGGUCGGAUUAGCUAGUUGGUGGGGUAAAGGCCUACCAAGGCGACGAUCCGUAACUGGUCUGAGAGGAUGAUCAGUCACACUGGAACUGAGACACGGUCCAGACUCCUACGGGAGGCAGCAGUGGGGAAUAUUGGACAAUGGGCGAAAGCCUGAUCCAGCCAUGCCGCGUGUGUGAAGAAGGUCUUCGGAUUGUAAAGCACUUUAAGUUGGGAGGAAGGGCAGUAAGUUAAUACCUUGCUGUUUUGACGUUACCAACAGAAUAAGCACCGGCUAACUUCGUG
rnacentral:rRNA from 1 species